GCCUCUAUAGCACAGUGGUAGUGCGUUCGCUUCGUAAGCGAAAGGUCGCGAGUUCAAACCUCGCUGGAGGCU
rnacentral:tRNA from 1 species